rnacentral:tRNA from 1 species
AGGGAUUUAAGUUAAUAAAACUAAUAGCCUUCAAAGCUUUAAAUAGAAAUGAAAGUUUUUUAAUCCCUG